AAGUCGUAACAAGGUUUCACCACGGAGACCGUGCAUCCCCCGGGGAGGCAGCGCGACUAAAAACAACGCUGCCGCAUGCAAGUCAGGCAACUGGCAACACGAUCGAAUUGCGGGGACCUCCUAAAGCUUCACAUACCACCUACCCUUGAAAAGGGGCGGCACGGUCAUAAUGGUGGAGAUGCUACAAUGGACGAUCCGCAGCGAAGACCCUACAGCGCAAGCCACGGGUAACGUUCACAGACUAAGUGAUUGUGGGUAGCGUGCUACUUAAGAUAUAGUCGAGCCGUAACUGAAAGGUUAAGGAUGAAGGUCCGUAGGUGAACCUGCGGAAGGAUCAUUACUAGAGCAAUGGAUAGGCAGCGCCCCACAGAAGCUUGCUUCGUGGCGGGCUACCCUACUCCGGUAGGGUUUAGAGCCGUCGAACCCCUCGAAGAAGUUCGGUCCUGAACUCCACCCUUGAAUAAAUUACCUUUGUUGCUUUGGCGGGCCGCCUUGUGCCAGCGGCUUCGGCCGUUGAGCGCCCGCCAGAGGACCACAACUCUUGUUUUUAGUGAUGUCUGAGUACUAUAUAAUAGUUAAAACUUUCAACAACGGAUCUCUUGGUUCUGGCAUCGAUGAAGAACGCAGCGAAAUGCGAUAAGUAAUGUGAAUUGCAGAAUUCAGUGAAUCAUCGAAUCUUUGAACGCACAUUGCGCCCUCUGGUAUUCCGGCGGGCAUGCCUGUUCGAGCGUCAUUAUAACCACUCAAGCUCUCGCUUGGUAUUGGGGUUCGCGGUCUCGCGGCCCCUAAAAUCAGUGGCGGUGCCUGUCGGCUCUACGCGUAGUAAUACUCCUCGCGAUUGAGUCCGGUGGGUCUACUUGCCAACAACCCCCAUUAUUUUACAGGUUGACCUCGGAUCAGGUAGGGAUACCCGCUGAACUUAA
rnacentral:misc_RNA from 3 species